AAUUUAAUUCAAAUAUAAAUAAAUUUUAUAUUUAGAUUGUCCUUUCGUACUUAUCUAAACAAAAAAAAUUAAAGAUAGAAACUGACCUGGCUCACGCCGGUCUGAACUCAAAUCAUGUAAGAAUUUAAUAGUCGAACAGACUAAUUAUAUUAAUUUCUACUCCAAUAUAUUAUCUUAAUUCAACAUCGAGGUCGCAAACUUUAUUAUAGAUAUGAACUCUUAAAUAAAAUUACGCUGUUAUCCCUAAGGUAAUUUAAUCUUUUCUUUAAAAUUUUUAGAUCAGAAAAUUCAAUAAUUUAUGGUAAUAAAAAAUUUAAGUUUUUUAUUUUAUAAAAUCGCCCCAAUUAAAUUAUUUAAUUAAAUAAAAAUUUAAAACUUAAUUUAAAUAAUAAAAAUCUAUAGGGUCUUCUCGUCUUUUAAAAUAAAUUAAGCAUUUUCACUUAAAAUUAAAAUUAAAUUUAGUAGAAUAAAGAAAAUUUAAUUCUCGUCUAAUCUUUCAUACAAGUUCUCAAUUAAAAAACUAUUGAUUAUGCUACCUUUGCACAGUCAGUAUACUGCGGCUCUUUAAAUCUUCAGUGAGCAGAUUGGACUUUAUAUUUUACCAAAAAGACAUGUUUUUGAUAAACAGGCGAAAUUACUUUUGUCGAGUUCCUAUACUCAAAUUUAUAAAUUUACUAAUUUCAAAAUAAUAAUUAAUGUUAAUUUCAUUAAACAUUAUUUUUAAAUAUACUACUUAAUGAAAAUUAUAAAUCCAUUUUAUAAGCUAAUUUUUUUAUAAAAAUCUAUUUAUCUUAAACAAUAAUAAUUCUAGAAAUAUAGCAAACAAAAUUUCAUUUAAAAAUUAUAAGAAAUAAACUCCUUAUAAUUUUUAAUAAAAAUAUUUUUAUAAAACCAUUUUAAACUUAUUUUUAUAAUUAAUUGAAUUAAUUUAUUUAAUAACUAGAAUUAUGGUUAAACGACUAACUUUUCAUUUCUAAUUAUAUAUUAAAUAUUAAUUUUUCUACAUUAAUAAUUAUAUAUAAUUAAAUCAAAACCAUUCGAGAUAAUCUUAUAUAAAUUUUUAUAUUUAAACCCUGAUACAAAAGGUACAAAAAUUAAUUUUUUUUCCUAUAAAUUAAACAAAUUCAAUUUAUUUAAUAUUAAACUAUAAUUAACCAAAAUUAUUUAAUUCUAUUUAUUAUAAUAAAUAAUAUUUUAUAUAAUUAAUUAAAAAAAAAUAUAUAAUAUAAUAAAUUCAAUA
rnacentral:rRNA from 1 species